GGGCAGCCGCUUUAAUUUGAUUGUGUGUGUCACGGUAAACCAUGCCGGGAACACAAGAGCAACAGAUUUCUAUUUCUCUUGUGACUCGGACGUGUGAUAUCGGGUCAUCCACCCCAUCAAUUAUACAGGAUGCGCGUCUACUUUGAUGCGUGUUCUGAUUACUUGGUCUGAAAUCGAGCAAGAAAACCCGCUGAACUUAA
rnacentral:misc_RNA from 1 species